AGCCCAACAUGGGACUCGAUCCGGGGUCUCCAGGAUCAGGCCCUGGGCGGAAGGCGGUGCCAAACUGCUGAGCCACCCAGGCUGCCCGACACAAUGCACUUUUAAGUUUAAUUUGAAUUAUUAACAUAAUGUCUACUUUCUUAAAUCUUCACAGCUAAUGAAACAAUAAGUUGAGCUCUGAGUUAUAGUGUUUACCACGCAGCCAUUUUCAAACUACAACAUGCUGUCAUUGAAUGUGGAGUUGGGAGACUAUGUGCAGUAACACACCAUUGUAGUCUAUUUCCACUACAGAGAUGCAGUAGAUGUAAAUUACCUUAUGCAAAGGUUUCUCUUUUUUUAAGAUUUUAUUUAUUUAUUCAUGAGAGAGGCAGAGACAUAGACAGAGGGAAAAGCAGACUCCCUGCAGCGAACCUGAUGCGGGACUUGAUCCCAGGACUCCAGGAUCAUGACCUGAGCCAAAGGCAGACACUCAACUACUAAACCCCCCAGAUGCCCCAUGUUUUCUGAAUUCCAUUAUGAAUUCUCUAAUAUGAGAAUAUUUUCUAAAGGCAUACCAAGAUUUUUUACAUCCAAGUUUCUCAUUAGCAUAAAUUCUGUAAUCCUGAGCAGUGUUGGAGUCAUCCAUAAAGGACUUCCCAAAUUCCUUAAAUUCUUAGGAAAUUUUCACCCAUAUGGUUUCUCUGGUGUACUUUUAGGGCUGGACUGUAUAUAAAGGCCUUCCUGCAUUUUUCACAUUUAAAGGGUUUCUCACCAGUGUGUAUCCCCUGAUGUUCAGUAAGGAAUGAAUUCAGUCUAAAGGUCUUGCCACAUUCCUUACAUUCAAAGGAUUUCUCACCAGUAUGAACAUUCUAAUGUCCAAUAAGUUGCCCAUACAGGGUAAAGGCCUUUCCACAUCCCUUACAUUCAUAGGGUUUUUCACCAGGAUGAAUUCUUCCAUGUUGUACAAAGUAUGAGGCAUGACUAUAAGUUUUCCACAUUCCUUGAAUUUAUAUGGUUUCACAUCAAUGUAAAUUUUCUGAGGUUGUGUAGGAUGUACAUGUAUUCUAAAGGCCUUCUCAUAUUCCUUAGAUUCAUAGGGUUUCUCACCAGUAUGAAUCCUCCGGUGCUGAACAAGGUACAAGCCAGUACUAAAGGCCUUGCCACACUCUUUACACUAAUAGGAUUUCUCACCUGAAUGAAGUCUUUCAUGUUGAACAGGAUAUGAGGUAUGACUAAAGGCUUUCCCACAUUCUUUGCAUUCAUAGGGCUUUAUCCCUGCAUGAAUUCUCUGAUGUGCAUUAAGAAAUGAACUAAGUCGAGAGGCCUUUCCACAUUCCUUACAUUCAAAAGGUUUCUCAUCAGUAUGAAUACUCUGACAUGGAGUAAGCUGUCCAUAUACAGUAGAGGCUUUCCCACAUUCCUCACAUUCACAGGAUUUCUCAACAGUAUGAAUUCUCUGAUGUUUAACAAGGGGUGAGCCUCUAAUAAAAGCCUUCCCACAUUCUUUACAUUCAUAGAGUUUCUCAAAAGUGUGAAUUCUCUGAUGUUGAACAAAGCACAAAAUGGUAUAGUAAAGGCCUUCCCAUAUGCCUUACGUUUAUAAGGUUUCUCACCAAUAUGAAGUCUGAUGCUCAGGGAGUCGAUGUCUAUUCCUAAAGUUCUUUCCACAUUCUUUAUGUUUCCAGGGUUUUUCACUAGAAUGUGUUCUCCCAUGUUGAACAGGGUUUGAGCCUUGACAAAAAGUCUUCCCAUAUUCCUGACAUUCAUAUGAUUGCUCUCUAUUAAGAAUUCUCUGAUGUAGACCAAAAGAUGUACACUUCUCAAUUGUGGGCACUUCUUUAGAGCUGACUGUCUCAUUCUUCAGUUGAAAAUCUGAAAGAAGGGGAUGCCUGGGUGGCUCAGUGGUUGAGUGUCUACCUUCAGCUCAGGACAUGAUCCCAGGAUCCAGGGAUCGAGUUCUGCAAUGGGCUUCCUGCAAGGAGCCUGCUUCUCCCUCUGCCUGUGUCUCUGCCUCUGUGUCUCUCAUGAAUAAAUAAGUAAAAUCUUUAAAAAUAAUCAUAAUAAUAAAAUAAGAUAAAAUAAAAUAUAUUAUUUAAAAAAGCAGAGCUUUCUCCUGGCUAAGGGCAGAGGGGAGUCAGAGACCAUCAAAGUGUGAGAAGGACAAGACUUGCUGGUUGCUAGCCAGAAGACAGAGGGGGCCACAUGGAAAGUGUGAGAAGGAAAUAAAUUCUACCAGUAACCAGUGAGCUUCAAAGAAGACUUCAUGCCCUAAAGAACUGCAGUCACAGCUGAUACUAGGAUUUACCAUCCUGUGAACUAAUGUAUAGAACUAUGUGAUGAUAAAUUACUGUAGUCUUAAGCUACAAAAUUUGUGGUCUUUUGUUACAAAGCAAUAGAAAACUAACACACUCUCUAAAAGCAGGCCCAACCCCUAUUUCAUUCAGCACUGAAGUAUAUAACUCUUCUAGCACAUAGCAGAAAUAGAUUAUAAGGGGAAAAAAAGGACAAAUCCCUAGACAAAAGAAUUAGGAUAUAAUUAAAAGACAGUAUCAUACAAAUAAUUCACUGAUAACCGAUUAAUAUGAAAUAGAUAAUCCCUGAAGAAAUAAACAAUUUCUGAAAUGAGGCAGGGAAGGAGGAACCUUAGAUAUCUUUGCCAAAAAGUCAGGUAAGUUUCCAAGAUUCAUAGAUUUCUCCAAGAAACAGGAGAGACUUAAUAUGGAGCUCCGUAUGGCAAAUACAAUGACAAAAGGAACACACAAAUGAUUAUUUUGAUUUACACAUUCUGAACAAGUGCUAUUGGAUGGAUAAAAGAUGAAUCCAUAUUAAUUCUUGCAAGGGAACAGAAAAAAUUAAGUUUUAAUCUUUGUUGUUGGAUAAUCUCCUACUUAGGAAAAGUAUUUAACUACUAGUAAAGAAUCAAGUAAUUUCUCUUUCUCUUUUAUUGGAACUAUGUUUCAAGACAACUAAAAUUACUAAUUUACACAAGAAAUAAUAGUAACAAAGUAUCUUCCUACAAAUAAUGAUUUUUUUUUAUUCUGAUGAGGAUUAACAACAUGACAGGUUGCUAAAGAAAUGACUAUUUCUUGAUAAUAAAAUAAAACCACACAGAUUACUGUUUAGCCACAAGGGGAAAAAUUAACUACUGUGACUGUAGACUAUUAUCACUCUAAUCCAGUGGUCAAUCUUUUUUUCUUUUUUUCUUUUUUAGAUUUAUUUAUUUUACAGAGAGAAAGAGAGAGCAAGCAAGCAUGGUACACACAUCCAUGUGAGUGCGGGGAGAAGAAGGAGAAGGAGAGAGAAAAUCCUCAAGCACACUCCCAGCUGAGUGCAGAGCCCAAUGCAGGGCUCAAUCUCAGGACUCAAUCUCAGGACCCUGAGAUCAUGACCAGAGCUGAAAUGAAGAGUUGGCUGCUUAACAAACUGAGCCAUCCAAGACUCCUCCAGUGAUCAACCUUAAUAAUGAGUGCAACCAGAUACUAUGCAUUUUCGGAUAAAAUACACAUCACCUCCUGUGAUGUAUUCCAGACAAAAAUGUUAACCUUUUAAAAACAUUUCCAUACAAUGUGAUAAGCCAUACAGGCAUUUUGACUGGAACCAGACCACUGGGAUGGCCCUCAAAGAUUAGUACUGAAUUUGCACACAAAAGUCAACAGAAAAUUGAAUCAGACACGUUAUUUAACUAUCUGCCUUUAGGAUGAUUUCUGUUAUCUCUUAAGACCAUUUUGGCCUAUCAACCUCCCAAUUCUCAGAAAAAAAAA
rnacentral:lncRNA from 1 species